AUCUAUUAGACAUCAAUUAAUUCAACAUAUUUGAUAUUCAGUAUUUUGGGGCAAUAUUCGGACGGACAUUCCACCGUUCCGACACGGUGUUAAGCUUGAAUUUUGUUGGUGAGGCGGCCAUGGUUUGCAAGGUUCGAUUAAGAUACAGAAUAAUAGUAAAUGGAAAACGGAAGUUCUUUUUCCUUUGGUAUGUUAGCGGUGUUAGAAAAUGAAAGAUUCCUUGAAUGGGGUUGAGAUAAAUUCCCCUCAACGUCAUUUAGGCUUCGACGUCAUUUAGGGUUGGAAGUUGGAAGCUGGUACCUUUGAUGUCCUCUUCACCAAAUACUCCCUUGACUUAGGCAUGAAAAAAGGCCUUCUUGAUAUUGCCCUCUUUUGGCUCGUACCGUUAGAAAAGAGUAUUUCCCCAACAUCAGCAGUUGCCUCCUUUUAGGCAAAAGGGUUAUUUAUUUAUUUAUUUAUUGCUUAUUUUUUUCGUUCACCACCAUUCUGAGGUUAGCUAUUGACGUUGCGGAGCAUUAUCAAAUCAUUUCGUAGUGAGGAGGUAGUGUAUAUAAACAAUGCAGAUGCUUUCAAAGAAAGGAAGAAAUAGAAGAGAGAGUAAGUUCUACAGCACGCAUCUUUCCAUGGAUGAAAUUUUUCAUUCACAUCAUAAGUUC
rnacentral:sRNA from 1 species